GAUGAACGCUAGCUACAGGCUUAACACAUGCAAGUCGCGGGGCAGCAUGGGGGUUGCUUGCAAUCCCCGAUGGCGACCGGCGCACGGGUGAGUAACGCGUAUUCAACCUGCCCUUCACCACGGGAUAACCCGGCGAAAGUCGGACUAAUACCGUACGUUGUCCAUUGACGGCAUCCGAUUUGGACGAAAGGCUUGGCGGCGAGUGAUGGGGAUGCGUCCGAUUAGCCAGACGGCGGGGUAACGGCCCACCGUGGCUACGAUCGGUAGGGGUUCUGAGAGGAAGGUCCCCCACACUGGAACUGAGACACGGUCCAGACUCCUACGGGAGGCAGCAGUGAGGAAGAUUGGUCAAUAGGCGUAAGCAUGAACCAGCCAAGUAGCGUGCAGGAUGACGGCCCUAUGGGUUGUAAACUGCUUUUAUGCGGGGAUAAAGUGGCCAACGUGUGGGCUUUUGCAGGUACCGCAUGAAUAAGGACCGGCUAAUUCCGU
rnacentral:rRNA from 1 species